rnacentral:rRNA from 2 species
GCCCUAGUAACGGCGAGUGAAGCGGCAACAGCUCAAAUUUGAAAUCUGGCUUUCGGGCCCGAGUUGUAAUUUGUAGAGGAUGAUUUUGGCGCGGUGCCUUCCGAGUUCCCUGGAACGGGACGCCUUAGAGGGUGAGAGCCCCGUACGGUUGGACACCAAGCCUCUGUAAAUCUCCUUCGACGAGUCGAGUAGUUUGGGAAUGCUGCUCUAAAUGGGAGGUAAAUUCCUUCUAAAGCUAAAUACCGGCCAGAGACCGAUAGCGCACAAGUAGAGUGAUCGAAAGAUGAAAAGCACUUUGAAAAGAGGGUUAAAUAGCACGUGAAAUUGUUGAAAGGGAAGCAUUUACUACCAGACCUUCUCCUGGCGGAUCAUGCGGUGUUCUCACCGCUGCACUUCGCCUGGUUUAGGCCAGCAUCGGUUUUCGUAGGGGGAUAAAAGCUUUAGGAACGUAGCUCCCUCGGGAGUGUUAUAGCCUUUUGCAUAAUACCCUUACGGGGACCGAGGACCGCGCUUUUGCAAGGAUGCUGGCAUAAUGGUAGUCAAUGACCCGUCUUGAAACACGGACCAAGGAGUCGAACAUUUGUGCGAGUGUUUGGGUGUUAAACCCUCACGCGUAAUGAAAGUGAACGUAGGUGAGAGCCCUUACGGGUGCAUCAUCGACCGAUCUUGAUGUCUUCGGAUGGAUUUGAGUAAGAGCAUAACUGUUCGGACCCGAAAGAUGGUGAACUAUGCGUGGAUAGGGUGAAGCCAGAGGAAACUCUGGUGGAGGCUCGCAGCGGUUCUGACGUGCAAAUCGAUCGUCAAAUCUGCGCAUGGGGGCGAAAGACUUAUCGA